GGGCCAUAAGCUUGAUGAGAAUGUUCUGAUACUGUGCUGGCAGGGCUACAAAAAGAGCUGUCCUCAGAAAUGCAUAGGUCAGAAGCCUAAAGAAGGCAAAUAUCACGAAUUCUACCUGAAUGCCCCCACAACUUACAAUCAAACAAGAUGAAGAUGGAGAACGGCUGUGGCCACAGUUUGGAAGCAUGCUUAGGAAAGCCUCUGAAUGGUCAUAUCCAAUAUCCGUGUUAUGUGGAAUUGUUGAUGUCCUUAAGUCCAGCAGAAGACAUCACGGCCCAGCUGUAAGCAUCAGACCAGCUUCUAACAACCUCAAGGUCUACCUGGACUCCUUCCAAUACCGGUCAUGUACAGCUAUUAUCUGCAGAGGCCACCAUUGUAUUGAGAACACAAGCAAUACCGUGGCUCCCACCUGCAGGGGAAAUGGCACCCCCACCCAAGCGAGUUCCACCUCAUCCUGUUUGUCGCAGCUCCAAGUUCUCACUUUCUUCAGCCGAUUUCAAUUUGCAAUUUUUAAGAGAACGGGUAGCCUAUCACUUAACACUGUCACUGGAAGAUAACAUUUCAGUAAUUACUCAGUGCUGACAUUUUAUUAUUUAAUCUUAAAAUCCCAUCAGAAAUCCCUAGCCCGAUAAGCUACAAACGAAGUUGGAAAAUAAAACACCCGGCAAAUCUGAUUUGCAGUAAUCAAAAUGGCAUUUUGUCAGAUGGGAACUAAUUAUCAACCUGACAUGACUUCAAUCUGCUGCCAUUUUAUGAAAUGAGAUCCGUUUGCUCUCUGUAGAGAAGAUCAGCCUUGCUGCUCCAUAGCUAGAUGCCCAAUUUCACCUAUUCUCGUGAGAUUCUUCCAUUAUGCAAACUGGUGGUGAAGCAAUUACAUGCUCCAAAAGAUGAAGACGAGAAAUUUCACAUUCACAGACUUGUCAUGUUCACCUCUUAAAAUGUAAGUUCUUGCCUGGUGUUAAGAUGGCUUUUUUAUUUUACACAGUCACCUAACAAUCUGAAGAAACAUCCCCUCUGAAGGCAGUUUCAGCUCCCAGGUUCAACAAGAGGGCCCUGUCACGAUUACAAGGCUCUGCUUUGAGACUGCUGAACAAAUGAAGGGAUCAUGUUCAUUCCACGAACAGAAUGCACACGUCUUCAGGCUUUUCAAGGCUAUUCAGGGGCUACUGCUGGACCACAGACAAUUAUUAAGUCAAAUGCUCCAAGUGGGCAUGAAUGUUUUAGCAGAGAAUAGACGGAAGGAAAGUGGAACUUAAACAGGAGUGAUUUCACCCCCGCAUAGCUCGAGAAUCCUGCUGGAAUCUCCACGGACAGAAAGAAAGAAGAGCUUUCACUAGUCCAUGCCAGGAAAUGGGCUGCCUGCCUCUCAUUUCAUGCUCUGACAUAUAACUCUCCUCUCUUUUCUGAUAGAGGGGAAAACUGAGUCCCUCAGAUGCCUGUAAAUUUCCUAUGGUUUUAGUCAGUAAGCGAGGAUGUUAGAGAGGUCCUUUCUACCACUCUCGGCUGCCUCUCCCAAUGUGGAAAGAGAAACAUCGGGCUGUAUAUUUUCUAUUUGGUUGCCUCACACGUGUUGAAAAGCUCUAUUUGGUAUUAUUAAAAAACAUUAUUUAUCUCUAACUCCCUUCAAUUUUAAGUUUUAGAAAUCAACUAACUAUAAGAAAAAGUUUGGGUCAGGCAUGGUGGCUCAGGCCUGUAAUCCCAGCACUGUGGGAGGCCGAGGCAGGCAGAUAACCUGAGGUCAGGAGUUCAAGACCAGCCUGGACAACAUGGUGCAACCCUGUCUCUAGUAAACAUACAAAAAUUAGCAGGGUGUGGUGGUGGGAGCCUGUAAUCCCAGCUACUUGGGAGACUGAGGCAGGAGAAUCGCUUGAACCCGGGAGGCAGAGGUUGAAGCCUGGGCAACGAGAGCAAAACUCCAUCUCAAAAAAAUUUUAAAAAAGAAAAAGUUUGAUAUAAUUAAGAAAAGAAGUCAGAGGAGAAAGGGAGGAGAAAAUAAAGUUGUUUUCUGGUCUUACAAUAUUUAAUUCUUCUUUGUGGGGCUUCACAGAGAGAACGGAACUCUCAGGAGACAGGUAAUAAAGUAUUAAGGAAGUUUUUGUUCAGAAUGCUGCUGAGGGGUAUUUUCACAUGUGUUACGACAUCCAGAGCAGAGCUGGGAACAGCGUGCUCGUGAGUCAGUACGUGAGUAAGCCUCUGUUCUUCCAGCACAAUUGCAGCUUGUUUAGUUUGCAAACACAAAUUGCCUCAGUGAUCCACAUUCCCAAUAGGUAAGGGCCAGCGCCACACUGCCUCCUCCCGUGGCACACGCAGCUCACAGCACGUGAGCCCGAAUCCACAUGGAAGAACACUGGACCCUCUGAGGGGCAGCUAUUCCUAUCUCCACCCUGGCUCUGAAGGAGAGCAUGGAGGUCAACCAAGAAAAAUAUCCUCAUGUCAAACAUAGUGGAGAAACUGUUUCACUUCAAGGUUUAUGAGAUCCAAAAAUGUUACUGUGAUAGUUCAUUUCGGGUGUCAACUUGGCUAGGCCAUGGUUCUUAGACACUCGCUCAAACACUAGUCUAGAUGUUGGUAUGAAGGUAUGUUUUAGAUGAGAUUAACGUUUAAAUCAGCAGACUUUGAAUGAAGCAGAUGACUCUCCAGAAUGUGGGUGGGCUGCAUCCAAACAGCUGAGGACCUUAAGGACAAAGACUGAGGUUUCCCAAAGAAGAAAUAAUUCAGCUCAAAACACAACACAGAAACCUCGCCUGAGUUUCCAGCCUGCCAGCUUCCCUACGGAUUUUGGACUUGUGAGUCCACACAAUGGCAUGAGCCAGUUACUUAAAAUAAAUCUCUCUCUCUCCUCGC